AACUCAACACAAGUUGGUUGAUAUAUCUGAGCAGCUCAGUCUGUAAGAAAUGGAGACAGCAGCCAAGUGUAGAAAAGUGCAGCAGAGGAUACGAGCUUUUUUCCCCCCAGACAUGGUCACUGGUGGUCCAGCUGUUCACGGUCAGGGCUGACAUGUCAGGAAAUGCGAUUAGUGUGAGGCCUGGGCACCUGAUAUACACAGACCAGAGACUCAAAAUGGAUUUUCCUGUAAAGAGGAGGACGCUUUAGCAGGAAAAAGCUGGACAAAUGGACAGUUCCCCCGACCCUGCAGUCAGGGUGGAAUAAUACCAGCGUCAUCAUGUACAGCACAAGACAAACUCUUUUGUAGCACCUUUAUUCCUCAGACCGUAGCUGGAGAAAAAGGGAUUUUAUUACAGAAUGGCUGAUGAAGUCGUGUUUUAACUUGAAGAGGUCACUUUAACUUUCCCACUAACUCGAUUUAACUUUGCCCUUAUUACAGGUCAGUCUGAAAGCCAUUUUUAAAAUGAUAUUUUCUUUUUUAUGGAUGCAUUUGACAGGAGGCCAGGAGAGGAAGUGGCUCGUGUCUGCAUUCUAUCUGGACCACAGACGCUCAGUUUCUCUCAGACACAAACGAUAGCGCCAGCAUCUCAAUCUGAUAUCGAUUCUGUCCUCCACUGGACAUUUAAUUAAAACCCGCACUGAUGCACCAAAGAACACAAAGUCCCAGUCCAUCCGUUUAAACCAUUUAUCACACGUCUGACUGAAACAUUUAUAAAAAUCAGACAGCUGUGUAGAUCAGAUCUCACAUUCAGACACAGUAAUAUUUAACAGAAGCUAGUGGAUGAAUAAAUAACGUGCAGUGACUGUUAAAGAGGAAGUGAUGCGGUUUGAAUAACACUCGCAGUCCAGUUUUACAGCCCUGGUUCAUGAAUGAGACCAGAUGAGAGUUCAAGUUAAAGUGGGGGUGUGGCCUUGACUGUACAGGUACAUAGCCAUGCCCCCCCUUUAACUUGGACUCUCAUCUUGUCUCAGUCAUCAGAGUAACAUCAGAUCAAUCAGACAGCAGAUCUGUGUGUGUCGAGGCAGACAAAGUGUUUCAUCAUCACAUGUUCUGUAUAUUACAGAUUAUUGAGUAACUGAAAUAACACAUCUCUGUAUUUUCCUGCUUGUAGUUCCAUCCACAGAAUUCUACUCAGCUGUUCAUUUCCUGUUUACAUCCUGUUUUUUUUCGCUCUAUAAGCGUAUAGUUUUCCUUGACUCAUUCUCCCGAGUUCUGUUUCCUCUGUUCUCAGAUCCUGAGCAAAUGCCACUGAAAUAAACAGACUGAAUGUUAAUGUGGCUUAAUAAUUCACAGUUUCACAUUAAAAACACAUUUAUUCAUUUAUUGAAGUGUAUUAUUCUGACCCCGAGCUGCAGUUUGGAAUUGAUUCCACGCUUUUAAUAACUUUGUCCUGAGAAAGCUUCCAAAUAAAGUAAAAUAUUCACAAGGUUAAAUUAAUGUAAUAAUAAUAAUAAUAAUAAUAAUAAAGCAUUACUAUUUAAAGUCAAACAAUCAAAUUAAAUUUACAUAUUACAGUCCCUUCCAAAACUAUUGGAACGGUGAGGCCACUCAUUUGUUUUUGCUGUAGACUGAAGACAUUUGGGUUUGAGAUCAAAAGAUGUAUAUGAGAAGAGAGUUUAGAAUUUAUUUCCUGGUAUUUAUAUGUAGAUGUGUGUGUUUGUUUUGUUUUUUAAAUAGAACAUUUUGUUUCAGACCACCCAAUUUGUAGGCAAGAAAAAGUUCUGGAACAUGUGACUGACAGGAGUUUCUUGGUACCCAGAUGUGUCCUGUUAGACUGAUUGUUUAAUUCUGUCACACCUGCCUCUUCACUCCUUCGUCCAUCUGGGUUCACUGGUGUUUCUUUCUCUCAUUUCUCACUGCUUGAUUCCGAGGCUCUACCAAGGGAGGUAUGCAGCAUGAAAUCAACCACUUGCUUGCUGGAUCCAAUUCCCAUGAACCUAUUUAAAUCGUGCUUUGAUGUUUGGUGCCCUGCUAUCCUCAGCAUUAUAAAUGAAUCACUGGAGACUGGGGUUGUUCCAGCAAUACUAAAGACUGCUGCUGUUACACCUGUACCAAAGAAGGAAAAUGUUUCCGUGGAUGAUUUUAACAAUUUUUGUCCAAUUCAAAUCUUUCGUUUUUGGCAAAAAUACUUGAGCGUGUUGUUGCCUCUCGAUUAUGUAAUCAUCUUACAAUUACAAUACCCCUUCAGUCAAGUUUUUGUAAAUUUCACAGUACUGAAAUGGCGUUGGUCAAAGUUACCAAUGACUUGUUGAUGGCCUCUGAUUCUGGAGGUACUUCCAUUCUUAUUCUUCUUGAUCUUAGAGCUGCUUUCGAUACUGUGGAUCAUGGUCUUUUACUUACCUGCCUUGAAAGAGUUUUUGGUGUGUCUGGGACAGUUUUAAACUGGUUUAAAUCCUAUUUUAUUGACUGUUCCCAGUUUAUUUCCAUGGGUGGUUACAGGUCUGACACUAGCUCUGUGCUCACUGGUGUUCCUCAGGGUUCAGUUUUAGGCCCUUUACUUUUCAAUAUCUAUCUAUCUCCACUUGGGCAUCCGCUGCGAUCUCUCGGCCUCCAUUAUCACUUCUAUGCCGACAAUACCCAAAUCUACAUUCACUCUAAAUCUGCUGAAAACCUUGGUGUUUGUUUUCUUUCUGAAUGCAUUUCUGAGAUAAAAACAUGGAUGACUAAUAACUUUCUGUGGAUGAACAGCAUGAAAACCAAAGUUAUGCUUAUAGGCUCCCGUCAGCAAAUUCACAAAGCUGGUCCGCUGUCGCUGUUGGUUGAUGGCUCUGUUCUAGAGACCCAAAGUAAAAUGAGGAACCUUGGAGUAAUUUUUGAUACCAGUCUUAUAUUUGAUUCUUUUGUUCAGAGCACUGUUAAAACAUCCUUUUUUUCACCUCAGAAAUAUAGCUAGACUGCGCCCAAUGCUAAACUUCUCUGUAGCUGAAAAGCUGAUAAACUCAUUUGUUUGUCACUCGGUUGGAUUACUGUAACGCCGUUUCAGCCGGAGUUUCUAAAUCCACAAUCAAUAACUGAAAUAUGUACAAAACUCUGCUGCCCAGAUCCUGACUGGGACCAGGACACGCAAUCAUAUUACUCCUGUUCUGGAGUCCUUACACUGGCUCCUGGUCAGGUUCCGUGUGGAUUUUAAGAUCAUGAUGUUGACAUACAAAGCAUUACAUGGCUUGGCUCCUCAUUAUAUAUCUGCUUUAUAAAUCCUUCACACCCCAAAUCUCAGCCUGCGCUCCUCACAGUGUAAUCUGUUAACUGUUCCACAAACAUGGUGAAGAUCUAUGGGUGACGGGGCUUUUUCUGUCUGCUCCUUCCCUUUUGAAACUCUCUUCCUCCUGAACUCAAGGAAGCUCAGACUUUUGGCAUUUUUAAAGCUCAACUUAAGACACUUUUUUUAAAACUCGCAUUUGACUGCUGAUGUCAUUUUUUAUUAUUAUUUUUUUUAUUAUUAUUAUUAACGUUCUUAUUAACUUUUGUUUUAUUUUUUCUGUGUACUGCUUAUUUUGUGUACAGCUUUGAGAAGCUGCUUUUAAAGGCGCUUUAUAAAAUAAAGUUUAUUAUUAUUAUUAUUAUUAUUAGACAAUAAUAACUCUGACCAUGUAUUCUGGGUUUGAGGCUUCAGCUUCCCCUGUGAAGACUGCAUUUGUUGUUAAAAAGGAUAAACCAACAUAAAGAUCAGAGAGCUGUCUAUGGGAGAAAAGCAAGUCAUUUUGAAGCUGAGAAAAGAGGGAGACUAUCAGAUUCACUGCACAAACACUGGGAAUAACUAAUACAACAGUAUGGAAUGUCCUGAAAAAGAAAGAAACCGCUACUGUUCUAUGCAUCAGACACCGAACGGAUCGACCAAGGAACAAAACAGCAGCUGAUGACAAACAUUGUGGGAGCUGUGAAGAAAAACCCAAAAAGAAAAGCAGUCAGUGACAUUACCAACAUCCUCCACAGGACAAGGGUGAAGGUCUCACAAUCCACCGUUCAACUGUGUGUGUGGAACUCAUGAUGGUAGCAGCAGAAUGAAUGCAGAUGUUUACAGGAACAAUUUUCUGCCAGUUUACAGAGAAAUGCAUCCAGAUGAAUCAGGAGGAACAUCAUCAUGCAGCAAGACAACGAUCCAAAACACACUUCCACCUCAACACAGGACUUCAUCAGGGGGAAAGUGGAAGGUUUUAGACUGAACAAGUCAAUCACCAGACCUUCACCCAACUGAUCAUCUCACCUCCUGAAGAGGAGACUGAAGGGAGAAACCCCCCGAAACAAACAACUGAAAGAAGCUGCAGGAAAAACCUGGAGAAGCUUCACAGAAAAAGAAACCAGCUGUUUGGUGUCAGUGAGGCGCAGGAGUGAUGCAGUUACUGCGAGGAAAAGAAAUGCAACCAAAUAUUAAGUGUUAUUUACUUUCAUUUACUUCAAGAUUGAUCUGUUCCUGUACUUUUGCUCACCUAAAAAUAGGGUGGUUUGAUACAAAAUGUUCUGUGUUUUAUGGUGUUUAACACGUCUAGAUGUAAACACCAGGAAAUAA